UACGGGGGGGGCAAGCGUUGUUCGGAAUUACUGGGCGUAAAGGGCUCGUAGGCGGCCAACUAAGUCGGACGUGAAAUCCCUCAGCUUAACUGGGGAACUGCGUCCGAUACUGGAUGGCUUGGAUUCGGGAGAGGGAUGCGGAAUUCCAGGUGUAGCGGUGAAAUGCGUAGAUAUCUGGAGGAACACCGGUGGCGAAGGCGGCAUCCUGGACCGAUAUGACGCUGAGGAGCGAAAGCCAGGGGAGCAAAACGGG
rnacentral:rRNA from 1 species